rnacentral:lncRNA from 1 species
UUUAAUUUAGAGCAUGAUUUUCAUGCACUACUUGUAGAUGUCGGGUCGGCUGGCUCUGUUGAUUGGUCUGACUUCUGGGGUCCUGUUCGUGUGGAUCGUGGUCGCCUCUGCGGCUUUGCCUUUCUUUGGGUCUUCUUCCUUCGCUGGGAGCUUGGCAUCGUUCCGGUCAAUGGUUGAAUCGGUUAGCGGGGCCCUUUGCACUAGUGUUGUCGACGAGGCUUCCUUUUCAAUAUCUUUUUUGUGCUCGAUUGGUCUCUUGAUGGGUGACCUCGAGGUGUAUCCUGUGUGUUUGACUUUUUGGUUCGGG